UACGUAGGGUGCAAACGUUAAUCGGAAUUACUGGGCGUAAAGCGUGCGCAGGCAGUUUUGUAAGUCUGACGUGAAAUCCCCGGGCUCAACCUGGGAAUUGCGUUGGAGACUGCAAGGCUGGAGUCUGGCAGAGGGGGGUAGAAUUCCACGUGUAGCAGUGAAAUGCGUAGAGAUGUGGAGGAACACCGAUGGCGAAGGCAGCCCCCUGGGUCAAGACUGACGCUCAUGCACGAAAGCGUGGGGAGCAAACAGG
rnacentral:rRNA from 1 species